AAACCAGCACCUCAAGUGGUCAGGAUGAUUAUUGGGCCUAAAGCAUCCGUAGCCGGCUCUGUAAGUUUUCGGUUAAAUCUGUACGCUCAACGUACAGGCUGCUGGGAAUACUGCAGAACUAGGGAGUGGGAGAGAUAGACGGUACUCGGGAGGAAGUGGUAAAAUGCUUUGAUCUCUCGAUGACCACCUGUGGCGAAGGCGGUCUACCAGAACACGUCCGACGGUGAGGGAUGAAAGCUGGGGGAGCAAACCGGAUUAGAAACCCGAGUAGUCC
rnacentral:rRNA from 1 species